CGGUUGUCGGAAAAGCAGAUCCAGAGAAGAUGGUUAAAGCUAUCAAGAAAACAAAAAAAAUAGCAACUAUUUCCUCACACAUAGACAACUCCGAAGAACCUGCUGCCCCGCCGUCUCCUGAUACAGACCCUCCUCCUCCGGCACCUGCUGAAGAACCUCCUGCUACAGAAGAAGAAACUCCACCGGCUCCUGAAGAAGCAAAGUCAGAAGAGAAUCCACCUCCACCUCCACAGGAGGAGAUACGUGGAGAGAUUCCGAUGGUGCACCCUUACCCACACCAAUGGAAUAAUUACGUGCAAGAUCAGUUUCCUUAUCAUGAUAAUUACUAUCUCACACCAAUGCAUAGUUACAAUAAUUCUGAACCGCCCUCUUCUGCAAAGAUUCUGGUAGUAGCUCCGGGAAGCUUUCAUCUUACAAAUGAAUAUUAUGACCAUCAGCAGCAGAAUUACGGCGGAGGGACUGAGGAUAACAUCAAUUCUAUCUUCAGUGAUGAGAACCCAAAUGCUUGUAUUAUUUUUUGAGAGAUUACUAAAAUAAUACCAUGGAGUGUGCUUAAUAACACAUAUAUAUUAAUUCACAUAUUAUAUUAUAUGUAAGAGCUCUAAAUCUAUUAAGCAUAUUAAUUCUCAAUUGCAUCAUUAUCAAAG
rnacentral:lncRNA from 1 species